UAAGCCCCUCGUACAAAUGAAGUCAGCUCACAAUGCUCAUCCCGACAAAGGAAACUCUGUCUUUAUACAGUGUAGGGACUGAGGUGGAUUUUGUCAGAGAAAGUGGCUGGCUCUUUAAACUGUAGAUCGAGCUGGAAGAAGAAAGCAAAAGUUUGCAUUUUCUUUUUUUGCCUUUAGAAACCCUGUCUAGGGAGAAGAUCACUCAUUUCUAGGUUCUACAUCGUAGCAAGCAUCCAUGUCAUCUGACGACCCCACGGAGCAGCAGGAUGUACGCCAACUGUCACAAAACACAUAGCCGAAUUUUGUUCAUUUACUAAAAGAAGAAGAAUAAAUUUCAUUUAAUUUGCAGAAAACGAGGUUCGAUCCAUGAUAAAUUCACUCUAUUGAUUUGGACCCAUGGUGGGGCAGUUCAUUAUGACAGAGGACGUGCAUCCGGCAAGGCUGCUUGGCUCCUGACUGAAUUGAGAGAGGAAAGAGAACUGGGAUGUCACAGUCUCCUCGGGAAGGCGCACCUCCCCAAACUGAAACAGGCUCUUCCAUCCUCCAGCAGGCUCCAUCCUAACAAUUUCCUCAUAUUCUAAUAGUGUUAUAAUCUGGGGACCAAGCCUUUAACACAUGGCUUUUGGGGGGAACAUUUCAGAUCCAGAGUACAGUAUCAGCUACCUGUUCCAAGUCACCUAAUCUCCUUUCUGCCAGAGGCAAAUGUAUUGACUUCAUAGGGUGAUGUGCUGUGAGGGUUAAAUGAGAAAACCUUAUUUAUAUAGAUAAUGUGUGUGUGUGCAUGCGUGUGUGUGUGUGUGUGUGUGCGUGCACGCGUGAGCACUCAUGGGCAUACAUUUGUGCAGAGUAUGUGCAUCAGUGCCAGUGUGUGUGGAGGCAGGAGGUUGAUUUUUAGUAUUUUUCUCUAUUACUCUCUA